UUUUCGCAAUGCCCGAAAGGGUGACGAAGCGACGCCGCGUGGGUGAGGAAGGCCUUCGGGUUGUAAAGCCCUGUCAGGAGUUAAGAAAUGUAAGUGCGCUAAUAUCGCAUUUAUUUGACGAAGGCUCCAAAGGAAGUCACGGCUAACUCUGUGCCAGCAGCCGCGGUAAUACAGAGGUGGCAAGCGUUGUUCGGAAUUAUUGGGCGUAAAGAGCACGUAGGUGGGUUUGUAAGUCAGAUGUGAAAGCCUUCUGUUCAACGGAAGAAUUGCAUCUGAAACUGCGAGUCUUGAGUGUAGGAGGGGAGAAUGGAACUUCUGGUGGAGCGGUGAAAUGCGUAGAUAUCAGAAGGAACGCCGGCGGCGAAAGCGAUUCUCUGGCCUAUUACUGACACUCAGUGUGCGAAAGCUAGGGGAGCAAACGGGAUUAGAUACCCCGGUAGUCCUAGCCGUAAACGAUGGGCACUAAGUAGAGGGGUUUUA
rnacentral:rRNA from 1 species